rnacentral:lncRNA from 1 species
AGGCUGUUAUCUAUUUAUUUUACAGAACUAGAUGGAUUCCCAAUAUUAUAAUAGAUGGAAUACUUAUUCUUAUGUUGUUUGUUUAAACAAUUUUGAUAGCUUUUGUACUGAUACUGGGGAGAGAAUUUUGUAGAACGCAAAAGAAGAGACCGAAAGAUGUACAUGGUAACAAUUCAUAUAUAAAUAACAUUGCAAACCAAUUGCUUCAUACUAUAUAGAACAUACAUUUAGGAAACUGAAAAAGUUAUCCAAGUUACACAAAAUUUAUCAAAACAUCCAUUCAAUGGGUGUUGUGUGCUCGCAAAUGACAUAAAGUAAUCUUUUCACAUAUAUACAAUCUACACAAUGUGAAUACUUCAUCCACGAGACCAUACAAUCUCAACAUCAUUGUUGUGUCCCUGCCAAAGAGACACAUGUUAGCUGAUUCCAAAUUUGAUGUAAAAAGAUGUUCAUAUUAAAUAUUGGUAAGUAAGACGUGAUAGAAAGACCAUACUAUAGCUCUGCUGCAAUAGCAAGUAAAAAUAAAAUUAAUAUAAGAAAAUACCAGUUUUUAGAGGCAUAAGUAGCUAGGGGGAAAAUAAUAAGAAGUUCCACUGCACUUGGAAUUCUUGUUAAUUACUCUUUUGCAGCUUGCCUGAAACCAAUAACCAUGAAAAUUAACAUUACAAUACACCUUGAAUUAUUAGCUUAGCAAGAACCCCACUUCUAACCAGAAUAACCUGAGGUCUAAUAAUGAUUACCCACUUGAUUUGUUCAAAAUUGCUCAAAUGACAUUUCAAUCAAGAAAAAGUAGCAUUUUAUAUAUUCAAUUUACCUGAUAUACCAAUAUCAACCAAACUACUUCAUCCAUUUCUUAUUUUUAUUUCCAACACAAUAAAAUGAGGAAAAAUGACUACAGGAACACGAAAAAGUACAUUGUGCUGGACAAAAAGAGACCACAUACCUAAUGCAGAAAACUACAAUGGCAACCUCUGCAUCGCAUAGAACGGAAGGUCCCCAACUUCUUCAAAAAAUCCAACAAGCUUCUUCUAUCAAUAUUCACCAAACUCCAACUUUAGUCUCUGGAUAAAAAGAACUUUACAACGAUAUCUUCUCUAAUGUUCUUAUUAAACAGAAAGUGCAUAAAGGAUGGGGCAAAAUAAUGGGCAAGGACAAGGAGAAACACAGAAAUAAUGCAGCUAAGGAAAGAAAUCUGGUAAAUGCUGCAUAUAAUAGAACACCAUAUUGCUACCUCCUAGGCUCCUACGAAUGUGGAGACUAUACAUAUAUGCAAUGUUUGUGAAGAAAAAUAGAUUAAUCAGUUGGUAAUUUGACUGUAAGGUAAUGUUACAACCUCAUCCUCAAAUAAAAUGAAACACAAAAUAGAAAUCAACAGACGAUACAAAUAAAUUCUUCGUAUUAUGAGCUAAAUAUGCCAAGAUAAUAUAUCUUGUUGCACGACUAGCUGACAUCAGAAGCAUGAGAUGGUAUUGAAAAUAUAUUCCACCAUUUUCGAUAUAUAAUGCAUGGUCCUACAGUGAAUUUGGAUGUUUAAAAUUUAUAUACUUUGAGACCACAUCAUUAAGGAAAAGUAGUUUCAAUUCUUUUUCUUGUACCGCUAAAGCAGAAAACAUACAUACUUACUUUAUUUAAUACAAAGAGAACAACAAACCUCAAAAGACAACAUUAAUAGAACCAAAAAGACCACAUAAUUUAAUUACUGUGACAAAAAGUAUAGACUGUACUGAAUCUCAAAACUUGGAGCAUCUUCAACUUUAAUAUAUAUUUCAACACGAACCUACGCAGCCAAAAAAAAAGAGAAGAAAGAGCAUCCAAAUACCGCGUAAUAUAGCGUUUCGAGUAUUGCUCAAAAGGGGGAAAAUUCAAUUUGAGAGUGAAAAUAUAGUGUAAAAUUAACGAAAAAAACAUUCACAUAUAUAUAUAUAUAUAUAGAGAAAAUCCAAUGUAAACAUCCAGUCAGCAAAAAAUGAAUUGCAGAAAAAACCCACCAAAAUAAACAGCUUACACAUUGAAAGAUGAACGCCAUAGGAAGAAGAUAGAAUUUGAGAUUCAAGAAAGAAAUAUAUAUAUAUAUAUAUAUAGAAAGAGAAGGCAAAAGAGAGAAUAGAUAAAAUGUCUAAAACACUAUCAAUUUGAAAUUAAAUAGCAGAUAACAAACCCAGACACAAUGGACGAAACAACUGUAGAAGAUUUUAGAGCCACAAAUAAAAAAAAGCAAAAUAAAAGAGGGGUAUGAGGUAAUUCAGUUUGGGGGCAAAGCCAUACAGUUUAUACAUAAAAAAUUAAAUGGCAAAGUAAAAUAGCAUUUAUGUCCUUGGUCGACCAACAAGCCUUUUAUGGCAUGUCAGUUCAUUAACAAAGUACAAUAAUGAAAGAAGCUUGCAGUUCAUCCUUAUUAAUUUCUAGUGCAAUUAGAAUUAACCAAUCAAUAGAGAAUUCAAAGACGACAUUUUGGAAACUGAUAAUAAAGUCCGUUAAAAAUCUCCAUACAUGCAACUUUAGUCAUAUAUAACUAUAUUCCAUACAUGCAACUUUAGUCAUAUAUAACUAUAUUUGUAAGAAAAUAUAUGCAUUCUCGUACCAAUUCUUGUUUCCUCGGCUUCUAUAUAGCUGUCUAGUAUAACUUCACUUAUUUUACUGGUUGCUCGUGGAUCAUAACUUCUUCUUUUUUCUUUUUUUUAUACUUUUUUUGCUUGUUAAAUUGUUGACAUAAAUUCAGCCGUGUUUAUACAUGUCGUCCACAAACUCUAUUGAUAUACCUAAUUUUUUUUGAUAUGCCACAAGAUUGAGUUAGUUGUAUCACUCAAUAAUUUAAUUGAACAUUAUAUAUAAUAGCAACAACUAUUUCUUCCUUAGCACUAUGAAUCAUCUGUAUUAAUAUUUUAUAACAAAGUUAUCAACAAAGAUUAAUUAGAAAGGGAAAAAAAUACCGGGAGCAACGCAGAAAUCCAUGAUGAUUGUGAGAGUAAGGAAAAAAGCAACACUAUGUGAGCUCAUAAUCUUAUGAAACUCCAAACCAUGCCUCAAUUAAAAUUCGUAGUCAACAUCUUAGUAUUAUCUGCAGUUGUUGCAAAAACAAAUGGCAGGUUCUGUAAAGGAAAAGAAGAAGUGUAACAGAUAAUUAAAGAAAACAAUUAUAAACUCUAAAUCCAUCUACAAUAUAUUCAGAUUUCAUCUUAAAAAUUAUUUUGUCCAAUUAAUAGGAAAAAGCAGCUGAAAAAACUAACCCUAAAAAUAUUGUCACAACAAGCGAAAAUAUUAAACAAAUAAAUGAUUUUACCAUUUAUCUGACUCGAUCUUAGUGGAUGAGAUUUCCUGCUAUUAAACGAAAGAAAAGGCGGCUCCGAUACAUCCGCAAGCUGCAUCAUACACUCAAGCUCUAUCAAAGGAUUAUAAGGAUGGUAGAGUAGUAGGUGGCUUUGGGUUGCCUUUAAAUUUACACAUAAGCUAUUUUAUUAGGAAGCACAAUAAGUAACAUCAAGGGUAAAUAAGCUAUUCAAACAAGCAACAACAACAAAUACCCAGUAUGCUUCCAUAAAGUAGGAUCUGGGAAGAAUAAUAUAUAGACGAGCCUUACCCUACCCGAAAGAACACAGAGGCUGUUUCCAAUCGACCCCGAGCUCAGUGAAGUAAAUGAAAGACAAAAACAAGAAAGCAUUAAUAAUUCCAGCAAAAAUAGUGUAAAUAAUUAUCUAAACAUAAGAAACAUAAAUAAAAUAGCAUGCAAUAAUAUAAUACAGUAACUACCAUAAGGAAGACACAAGCCAAAACACAAACUAUUCAAACAAGCAAAAGCGGAAAAAGAUUAAAAAAAAAAUUAAAGGAAAAGCUUACUCGAAAUUAAGAGAUCCAGCUAGAAGAUGAAAUUAACUGAGAGAGAAGUAGUAGUUUCAAGUGUGAAGAUGGAGAAAAUAGGUUUAUGAAACCAUAUGAGUAUUCUAGAAUUAUCUCGCAGUAUUUUGGGUAGGUGGAGCUGUGACGGCACUUAAAUGUAUGGAAAAUA